rnacentral:rRNA from 1 species
GACGAACGCUGGCGGCGUGCUUAACACAUGCAAGUCGAGCGAGAGAAGUUCCUUCGGGAAGGACUCUAGCGGCGGACGGGUGAGUAACACGUGGGUAACCUGCCUCAUAGAGGGGAAUAGCCUUCCGAAAGGAAGAUUAAUACCGCAUAAGAUUGUAGUACCGCAUGGUACAGCAAUUAAAGGAGCAAUCCGCUAUGAGAUGGACCCGCGUCGCAUUAGCUAGUUGGUGAGGUAACGGCUCACCAAGGCGACGAUGCGUAGCCGACCUGAGAGGGUGAUCGGCCACAUUGGGACUGAGACACGGCCCAGACUCCUACGGGAGGUAGCAGUGGGGAAUAUUGCACAAUGGGGGAAACCCUGAUGCAGCAACGCCGCGUGAGUGAUGACGGUCUUCGGAUUGUAAAACUCUGUCUUCAGGGACGAUAAUGACGGUACCUGAGGAGGAAGCCACGGCUAACUACGUGCCAGCCGCCGCGGUAACAC